UGAGUUUUCGGUUUCACAACGGCUGAUUUGAGUUGGUUUAAUCAACUCGGAGUAGUUUGACCCGGAGUUCAGCGCGUGCACCGCAACUCUGAAAAGACAGCAUCAAUGGAACCCCGAUUCGACGAGUCACCAUGGAAACGGGGAAGCAAAAGGCUGCGUUUUUGAACUGGAAGUUUUUAACGCGCUCAUAUGGCGAGUUUGAACACGUUUUUAGAAAGAAGUGCAACACCGCUGCAGCUGUAAAAGAGAGAGAGACGGCGUGGAGAACAGCCCGGAUCAAUGCGAUGAAGAGGAUGAAACUGUGUCUGCUGCCUUUACAGAGGGGGAUCCAGAAAGGCAUACAGAGCUAUGUUACUGAUAGUUCUCUUCUCAUUCACAUUCUGGGUGGAAUAUAGAGUGUGACAUUUAGCCUACACUGAAGUGUUGCACAUUCUCAUCCUUUUUAACAGAGCAUGGCUGGACAGCAGCAGGAUGGUUCCUCAGCUUCCACUGCACAGACUGACACAGUGAGAUGGAUGUUCAGGAAACACCAGAGCUUCAUUCUGUGGAAUUCAUGUGCAACUGUAGAAUUUAAUGUCCUCUAUGCAUUCCCAGUUAUCAGUAAAACAGAUUUACAAACUGCAUUUGCUGAGAAAAAUCCAAAAACAGAUUAGGAGGACAGAUCUGGAAACUGAAAUACUGGAGCACAAGUUAGAGGUGGUGAUGGUCACAGGUGAAUUAUGUUAACUACUGGAACAUGAACUGAACUGUUUAUUUGUAGGAAAUAAAGAAGAGCAAAUGAAA